UACGUAGGGACCGAGCGUUGUCCGGAAUCAUUGGGCGUAAAGAGCGUGUAGGCGGCCACUUAAGUCCUGCGUGAAAUCUUGCGGCUCAACCGCAAGCGGUCGUGGGAAACUGGGUGGCUAGGGUGCGGAAGAGGGAAGCGGAAUUUCCGGUGUAGCGGUGAAAUGCGUAGAUAUCGGAAGGAACACCAGUGGCGAAAGCGGCUUCCUGGUCCAGCACCGACGUUCAGGCACGAAAGCGUGGGGAGCAAACAGG
rnacentral:rRNA from 1 species